GUAGGAUGUUGCCCUGGAGUGAACAAAGGGAAGAGAGGAAAGUUUGACCUAUUUCAGUUUGAGAUUGCAUCUAUUGGAUAAUGCCUUUACCUGCCAUGGAUAACAGAUAUUAGGAAUCCAGCAGAGCAGAUAGAUUCAAGAUCAGCCCGUGAUAUCUUAUGAGUCCAACAAGCAUUUAUCUGUCCAUCAAACCCACAAUUUGACUGCAUCCCGGAUGCUGAUAUGCCUUUGACGUAUUCCUGGCACACCCCAUAAAAAAAAAAGGGGAAAAAACCUACAGCCCUCUGCUCAGGAGUUUUUGCCUUCAAAAACCGGACAGCAAUUGAUAGAGUUUGACGAUCAAGCUGCAGGCAAAAAGACCAUAUGAGCACGAGAAUCAACAAAAGAAACUCUUCACUCAGUACAAGUAUAUAAUGAGAAACAGACAGAGGAAGCAUUGCUUUUAAGGUAUAACAGUAAUUUGGUUAGCAUCUUUUGAUACAAUUCCUCGUGAAUAUUACAGGAUCUUAUUCAUAACAAGCACGAAACUCUUCGGAAUAUUUUGAGCAUCUGACAUAAUGUUGCUAGUUAAUAUCUUUUUUGAUCAAGUAUAGUUUUAUUGAUAAUAGAAAAGCUCCAAUAUACAAGAGGUAUACCAGAAGGAUUUUGACUCUGGUGCCUUGUUAAUAUAGAUCUAACAUGAAUUGGUUUUGCAUAAGGGUGACAGCUUGCUCCAUUACCUAGGUCAGAACUUCCUUACUUUGACUCAGGGCCUACUACGGAAAUACCUCAAAUGUACGAAACCAUCAAGAAGUAUGUCUUAGUUCCAAACUAGAUGGGAUCACUUCUAUAAAUCCGUUAUCAAUUAAAAGAAGUUCAAAUGCCUCAGACAUUGCUGACCAAUUUAACCUGAUGUUUGCUUGAUCCUAUAUCAUCAAUUGGGGUACAGUUGAGUUGUAUAAAUGUUUAGGGUACACCAGCGCUAAACUAAGAUACAGUGUUCAUUUUCUCUUGUAAUUGUUGUCUCUUCUUUAUCUUCCAAUUUUAUGGAUUUACAAUUUUCAGACUCUUCAACGGAUGCAUCACUCAACCUUUUUUAGAUACCCACCAAAUUAAGACUCAUCCCAGCCAUCUAUAACUCUUCGGGAGUUGCUUCCAAAGACAGCAAAAUAUUGUUUAAUCACAUGCAUAAUGUUACCUCCCAUCCCUUAAUCGGUAUUAUUCAUCUCUGUACUACCUGACUUCCUUCAGUUCUAUCAGUAGAUGAAUUUUGUCAGAUCAACUGUUCGAGUCUUCUAUGCUACCAUGUAGAAAAACGUUGUGGAAUUAGGAACUACUCCAUCGAAUGUUUGUGCUGCCUAUCGAAGCAGCAGACUGGCCUAUAGCAUUUUACUGGAUUAAGAGGGUUCUCUGACCCUUUGAGAGCAACAUCAAGUAUCUCCUGGCCUUCUCAGAGCAAAGGAGAGUAGGAUUGCCUAACCUACAAGUAUACGCAAUAUUUGUGAUAUUUAUUUAUCUCAUAUGACAAUCUGAGUAUACAAACUUCCCCUUUCCUCGCACAUGGGAUUGCUGCUACAGUAAUACAGUUGGAGAAGAUGCAACUGAUUAUUCAUAAUCGCCUUAUGAUUAAUCCAAUUGCAGAUUUGCAGGGGUAUCAAGUGGAGUGAUGCAACUGAUUAUUCAUUAUUGCCAGAAGAAUAAGAAUAGUAUUCGCUCCUUUCUCAUACAGAAACUGGAAUUUGUCUCUCUCUAUCACACACACAGAGACACACAUGGACAAGAUAAAGAUAUUCUACAAAAACCUAAAUCUUUGUGUUUUUUCCUAUUGGAAUAGGACAAAAUACCGACAUGCCUCAAUGCUACAUAUGCUAAUGGAUACAUUCUUAAUAAUUAUGUAACGCACCUUAUUCUUAUUCUUACUAUUAUUAGGAUAAGUAUGUAACUGA